rnacentral:snoRNA from 1 species
UGGACACGUAAGUUUUCUUUCAGUUUCUCCUCUAUGUGGAGAAAACUGUACAAGUGUCCUAUAGUAACACAGAAGCUAUCUGUUCAACUCUGAUGAGUUAAUGGGGUUGGAUCGUUCCACUUCUGACAGCU